rnacentral:rRNA from 1 species
GACGAACGCUGGCGGCGUGCUUAACACAUGCAAGUCGAACGGAAAGGCCCUGCUUUUGUGGGUUGCUCGAGUGGCGAACGGGUGAGUAACACGUGAGUAACCUGCCCUUGACUUUGGGAUAACUUCAGGAAACUGGGGCUAAUACCGGAUAGGAGCUCCUGCUGCAUGGUGGGGGUUGGAAAGUUUCGGCGGUUGGGGAUGGACUCGCGGCUUAUCAGCUUGUUGGUGGGGUAGGGGCUUACCAAGGCUUUGACGGGUAGCCGGCCUGAGAGGGUGACCGGCCACAUUGGGACUGAGAUACGGCCCAGACUCCUACGGGAGGCAGCAGUGGGGAAUAUUGCACAAUGGGCGGAAGCCUGAUGCAGCAACGCCGCGUGCGGGAUGACGGCCUUCGGGUUGUAAACCGCUUUCGCCUGUGACGAAGCGUGAGUGACGGUAAUGGGUAAAGAAGCACCGGCUAACUACGUG